CUCUGAUGUGCUGAAAAGCUCUCCUACAUCGUUGAUGUCAGCUGUGCCUGAGGCUUUUUAAUGGGUCAACAGACCCCAAAGAUCCAGAAGGGUCCUGAGACAUGAAGCUGGUCCUCACAACUCUGCACAGACUAGGAGGCCCAAAGAAGAGAAACAUUCACUACACCAAGUUGCCUGCAUUUGGUCCUGGGUUCAAGCCACCAACUUCUGUCAUUUUAGUAGAAAACAAGCAUAACAACAGCAUUUACUGACAGGGUGUUGGAGCCAAAAAGUGGAAAUGAAACAAACAAGCUUUUCUGGCAGAGAGAAAGAAUCUGCUGGAAGGUCAGACAACCACAAGACU